rnacentral:rRNA from 1 species
UACUAGAGUAGCACUCGCAUAUCAAUAAGCGGAGGAAAAGAAACUAACAAGGAUUCCCCUAGUAACGGCGAGUGAAGCGGGAAGAGCUCAAAUUUGAAAUCUUAAAGGGUUUCCCUUUACGAAUUGUAGUUUAAAGAAGUGUUUUCUGUUGAGGUUUUGGUAAAAGUUCUUUGGAAUAGGACAUCAUAGAGGGUGAGAAUCCCGUAUUUGACCUUUACUUUCAACUUUGCUGAUACACUUUCAAAGAGUCGGAUUGUUUGGGAAUGCAGUCCAAAAUGGGUGGUAAAUUUCAUCUAAAGCUAAAUAUUGGCGAGAGACCGAUAGCGAACAAGUACCGUGAGGGAAAGAUGAAAAGAACUUUGAAAAGAGAGUUAAACAGUACGUGAAAUUGUCAAAAGGGAAGCGUUUGACACCAGUGUUGUUUUUCUGAAAAUCAAUUAAAGAACUGUUUAUGCUAAGUUGUUUAGACUUUAUCAGCUAACUGUUUAGUUUUGAGCUUUUCUUUAAUGCACUUUUCAGUUAACAAGUCAACAUCAAUUUCUUUUGCUGUAAAAAAGCUUGAGGAAGGUGGCUUGAGAUUCGUCUUAAGUGUUUAUAGCCUCUUGCCUAUGCAGUCGGAGAGAUUGAGGUCUGCAGCGUAGAUCCUUCGGGGCUAAAUGCAUUUGUGCUAAGUUAUAGCAUUUUAUAGACAACUUGUUGACUAUGAUUUGUCUUGUAGCUUACUCGCUUAUGUUAUUUUACCUACGCUUAGGAUGUUGAACUACUGAGACAUAGA